rnacentral:rRNA from 1 species
GGGCCCGCACAAGCGGUGGAGCAUGUGGUUUAAUUCGAUGAUACGCGAGGAACCUUACCAGGGCUUAAAUGUAGUGGGACAGGUCUAGAGAUAGACCCUUCUUCGGACUCAUUACAAGGUGCUGCAUGGUUGUCGUCAGCUCGUGCCGUGAGGUGUCAGGUUAAGUCCUAUAACGAGCGCAACCCCUAUCGUUAGUUGCCAGCGAGUAAUGUCGGGAACUCUAACGAAACUGCCAGUGCAAACUGUGAGGAAGGUGGGGAUGACGUCAAAUCAUCACGGCCCUUACGUCCUGGGCUACACACGUGCUACAAUGGCCGGUACAGAGAGCAGCCACUUCGCAAGAAGGAGCGAAUCUAUAAAACCGGUCUCAGUUCGGAUCGCAGUCUGCAACUCGAGUGCAUGAAGUUGGAAUC